UACAAGGGCUACCUGGUCUCCGUGGA
rnacentral:piRNA from 1 species